GCUAGUAGCUAAUUCAGAAUUUUUAAUAAUCAAUGUGAACUAAGAGGGAGUGUUGUAAAAAUAGUAUUAUAUUUUAAUGACUUUUAAAUAAUAAGUUUUGUAUUUAGUUAAUUAGAAGUGUACCUGCAAUUGGACAAUAGCAAAAAAUUGUUAAUGAUGCAGACCCGUUGGAGCCAAUAGCAGAGCUCAAUGAAACAUGGACUUGGCACGGACGUCACGAAGUCGGGCCAAACUUAUAUCUUUGGGGGACGACUAUGCCCAGCAACCAGCGAGUUAUGGCUCAGCAGCAACAAUAAAGUGGAUUGUACAGGUUCAUGUGGCCACUCCAAAUAGAGGACCGUGGUCUCUGCCUACCUUUCUGGGUGAGGCGUGAGUUUUGUGUACUGUCCAUAUAUAAAGUAUCGACGACAUAUUUGAUAUGAGGUAUAGUGAGCGAGGUCUCGGCGACGUCUGUACUGACGACACAGAGACGCGCG